rnacentral:rRNA from 2 species
GGCAUGCUAUACAUGCAAGUCGAACGAACUCUGGUAUUGAUUGGUGCUUGCAUCAUGAUUUACAUUUGAGUGAGUGGCGAACUGGUGAGUAACACGUGGGAAACCUGCCCAGAAGCGGGGGAUAACACCUGGAAACAGAUGCUAAUACCGCAUAACAACUUGGACCGCAUGGUCCGAGCUUGAAAGAUGGCUUCGGCUAUCACUUUUGGAUGGUCCCGCGGCGUAUUAGCUAGAUGGUGGGGUAACGGCUCACCAUGGCAAUGAUACGUAGCCGACCUGAGAGGGUAAUCGGCCACAUUGGGACUGAGACACGGCCCAAACUCCAACGGGAGGCAGCAGUAGGGAAUCUUCCACAAUGGACGAAAGUCUGAUGGAGCAACGCCGCGUGAGUGAAGAAGGGUUUCGGCUCGUAAAACUCUGUUGUUAAAGAAGAACAUAUCUGAGAGUAACUGUUCAGGUAUUGACGGUAUUUAACCAGAAAGCCACGGCUAACUACGUGCCAGCAGCCGCGGUAAUACGUAGGUGGCAAGCGUUGUCCGGAUUUAUUGGGCGUAAAGCGAGCGCAGGCGGUUUUUUAAGUCUGAUGUGAAAGCCUUCGGCUCAACCGAAGAAGUGCAUCGGAAACUGGGAAACUUGAGUGCAGAAGAGGACAGUGGAACUCCAUGUGUAGCGGUGAAAUGCGUAGAUAUAUGGAAGAACACCAGUGGCGAAGGCGGCUGUCUGGUCUGUAACUGACGCUGAGGCUCGAAAGUAUGGGUAGCAAACAGGAUUAGAUACCCUGGUAGUCCAUACCGUAAACGAUGAAUGCUAAGUGUUGGAGGGUUUCCGCCCUUCAGUGCUGCAGCUAACGCAUUAAGCAUUCCGCCUGGGGAGUACGGCCGCAAGGCUGAAACUCAAAGGAAUUGACGGGGGCCCGCACAAGCGGUGGAGCAUGUGGUUUAAUUCGAAGCUACGCGAAGAACCUUACCAGGUCUUGACAUACUAUGCAAUUCUAAGAGAUUAGACGAUCCCUUCGGGGACAUGGAUACAGGUGGUGCAUGGUUGUCGUCAGCUC